rnacentral:rRNA from 1 species
CGGAUUAGCGGCGAACGGGUGAGUAACGCGUGAGGAACCUGCCUCUCACAACGGGAUAGCCUCGGGAAACCGGGAUUAAUACCGUAUGACACUAUCAGAUGGCAUCAUCAGAUAGUUAAAGUGCUAGCGGUGAGAGAUGGCCUCGCGUCUGAUUAGUUAGUUGGUGGGGUAACGGCCUACCAAGACGACGAUCAGUAACCGGCCUGAGAGGGUGAACGGUCACAUUGGAACUGAGACACGGUCCAAACUCCUACGGGAGGCAGCAGUGGGGAAUCUUGCACAAUGGGGGGAACCCUGAUGCAGCGACGCCGCGUGAGCGAUGAAGGUUUUCGAAUCGUAAAGCUCUGUCCUAUGGGAAGAUAAUGACGGUACCAUAGGAGGAAGCCCCGGCUAACUACGUGCCAGCAGCCGCGGUAAUACGUAGGGGGCGAGCGUUGUCCGGAAUUACUGGGCGUAAAGGGUUCGCAGGCGGCAUGACAAGUCCGAUGUAAAAGGCGAAAGCUCAACUUUCGUAAGCAUCGGAAACUGUCAAGCUUGAGUGAAGGAGAGGCAAGUGGAAUUCCUAGUGUAGCGGUGGAAUGCGUAGAUAUUAGGAGGGAUACCGGUGGCGAAGGCGACUUGCUGGACUUC